CCUACGGGGUGCUGCAGUAGGGAAUCUUCCACAAUGGGCGAAAGCCUGAUGGAGCAACGCCGCGUGGGUGAAGAAGGUCUUCGGAUCGUAAAACCCUGUUGUUAGAGAAGAAAGUGCGUGAGAGUAACUGUUCACGUUUCGACGGUAUCUAACCAGAAAGCCACGGCUAACUACGUGCCAGCAGCCGCGGUAAUACGUAGGUGGCAAGCGUUAUCCGGAUUUAUUGGGCGUAAAGGGAACGCAGGCGGUCUUUUAAGUCUGAUGUGAAAGCCUUCGGCUUAACCGGAGUAGUGCAUUGGAAACUGGGAGACUGGAGUGCAGAAGAGGAGAGUGGAACUCCAUGUGUAGCGGUGAAAUGCGUAGAUAUAUGGAAGAACACCAGUGGCGAAAGCGGCUCUCUGGUCUGUAACUGACGCUGAGGUUCGAAAGCGUGGGUAGCAAACAGGAUUAGAUACCCCAGUAGUC
rnacentral:rRNA from 1 species